UCGACUUACCCAGCAAGAAGGGACAGUAUGAGCAAUACAAGCUUCCCCACUGCUUCCUAGUCCAUGUGCCUCAGCCCUGACCCGGAGGAACCACUCCUGGAGGUGAGAGA
rnacentral:sRNA from 1 species